CACCUCGGGUGACAGGGAGACAGGUGGUGCAUGGUUGUCGUCAGCUCGUGUCGUGAGAUGUUGGGUUAAGUCCCGCAACGAGCGCAACCCCUACGUUUAGUUGCUAACGCGUGAAGGCGAGCACUCUAGACGAACUGCCGUUGACAAACGGAGGAAGUGGGAUGACGUCAAAUCAUCAUGCCCCUUAUGUUCUGGGCUACACACGUGCUACAAUGGCCGGUACAGACGGACGCAAAGCCGCGAGGUGGAGCAAAUCCUAAAAAGCCGGUCUCAGUUCGGAUUGCAGGCUGCAAUUCGCCUGCAUGAAGUCGGAAUCGCUAGUAAUCGCAGGUCAGCAUACUGCGGUGAAUACGUUCCCGGGCCUU
rnacentral:rRNA from 1 species